rnacentral:ncRNA from 2 species
GCAGACAGAAGAGGAGCGUUACCCAGGUAUCUAGGUUGCGGGGCCCCACCCCGAAGCAGUCUGGAGAGGGGGAGUAACGCCGAGAUACGGCAUGACAGGGGGCAUGGCGUAUCGGCUACGAAGGUUGAAUCCUUCUGGCUGUCAUCUAUUCACUAUGGUAAUGGAUAGAUGGGGAGCUUCUGGUUGU